ensembl:lncRNA
GGGAGAUGGAGGAGCGUGGAACAACCACCACAGCCCAGUACAGCCAAGUCCCUGGCGGCACUGCCAGGGCCCACCUGGCUGGCCUCGAGGGCAGAAGGGCGCGUUCCUUCCAGGAGCCAGGAGGUGACUAAGGAAGUCCCGGUGAGGAUGAGCAGGGAUCGAACUCAGGACCUUCUACUUGCCAGGCAGGCGCAGUGACACUGAGCUACAUCCCCAGGCCAAUUCUUCCAUUUUUAGAGGACAAGAACCCGGUGUAUCGUACCGCUAACAGGUUGGGAGAUAUAAUAUUUCAUAUUUCAUCUCCGGUAUUAUUUCCUGUAACAAUGAAACUCCAUAGCAACUUUCAUGGGCUUCUUCCAGGAAGACUGCCUUGCUCCCUGACCUGAGAUAGUGGCCCCCACACCCAGGCUUCUCAAUGCGCACUGUCUCCUCUGCUUUCUCCCCAUGGAACUCAGCAUCUUUGAGGGCUGAGGCUGUGUCUCCUGCCCAUUCCGUGUCUCUGCCACUGGCCCUCACAGGACAUUGCAG